CCCUUAGAUGUUCUGGGCUGCACGCGCGCUACACUGAUGCACUCAACGAGUUUACGACCUUGCCUGGAAGGGUUGGGUAAUCUUUUUAACAUGCAUCGUGAUGGGGAUAGAUUAUUGCAAUUAUUAAUCUUCAACGAGGAAUGCCUAGUAAGCGCAAGUCAUCAGCUUGCGUUGAUUACGUCCCUGCCCUUUGUACACACCGCCCGUCGCUCCUACCGAUUGAAUGGUCCGGUGAAGCGUUCGGACCGUGGCCUUUGGACGGUUCGCCGUCUGUUGGCUGCGGGAAGUUCGUUAAACCUUAUCAUUUAGAGGAAGGAGAAGUCGUAACA
rnacentral:rRNA from 1 species